UCAUGGCGGCGUUCUCUGCCCUCGCCGCGCCCGCGGCGCACCCCGCGCGGGUCCGCGCGUCGUCGUCGUCCUCGUCGUCGCGCGCGCGCCCUCGCUCGACGACGGCCCGUCGCGGCGUCAGGACGAACGACGCCGCGACGACGUCCUCGUCGACGACGUCGACCGAGACGGCCGUCUUCGCGAUGGGAUGAUUCUGGUCUCCGGAGGAGACCUUCUCCUCCAUCGAAGGCGUGCUCUCCACCAGGGUCGGGUACACCGGCGGGGACGCGCC
rnacentral:lncRNA from 1 species